rnacentral:rRNA from 1 species
AUGCCUGGCUUGCCAGUUGCCACCACUCCAGCCCAGCUCCAUACCUCUUACGCGCAUACAGCGAGCAUCACUCGAUAUACGUAUUUCUCAAAAAGAAAAAGAAAAACUCGAUGUAGGUGUACGUAUAACUUGCGAAGCUGCCCAGAUUGGAUCCGAAUCUGUCUCGGCCGCUACGUGAUUCACGUAGCCGUAGCAGUGUAUCGUGCAGGUUCCGGAUCUUGUCAGACCUGUACAUGUUUUUUCAGACACUUCUAUAAGUUACUAUUACAAAUAUAUAUAAGCUCGGAGAAUAUGCCACAUUGGAUUCUCCUAACAAAAAAAAAAUCAACUCCCCCAGCUACUUCCCCAAAGUGUCACUGUCCAGUGGGUCCACCCUCGAUCCCCUUUAUAGCGCCACGCCUUAUCGUUCCCAGUCGCUUACUUCCGGAUCGAAAGUCGCCGGCCAUGAAGCUCUCCUGCCUUCUCCUCGUCUCCUUCUUUGCCGCGGCGUACGCGUCGUCGGAGAGAGCGAUCGCGGUCGCGGGCGCCGGCGGCCUCUUAUCGGACCCGGAGCAGCAGUGCGUGUACACGGUGUACGUGCGGACGGGCUCGAUCUGGAAGGGCGGGACGGACUCGGCGAUCGGCGUGACCCUGCUGGGCUCGGACGGCACGGGCGUCCGGAUCGCCGACCUGGAGCAGUGGGGCGGGAUGAUGGGCGCCGGCCACGACUACUACGAGCGCGGCAACCUCGACAUCUUCAGCGGCCGCGGGCCCUGCAUGGAGCGCGCGCCGUGCUGGGCGAACGUCACCUCCGAUGGCGCCGGCGCGCACCACGGCUGGUACUGCAACUACGUCGAGGUCACGGCCACGGGGCCCCACAUGGGCUGCGCGCAGCAGCUCUUCACCGUCGAGCAGUGGCUCGCUACCGACGCCUCGCCCUACCGCCUCUACGCCGCCGUCGACAACUGCGGCGACAAGCAGGCAGCUGCCAAGGGCCACGAGGCCAGGGCCGCCGCUCUGUGA